rnacentral:rRNA from 1 species
UACGAAGGAUCCAAGCGUUGUCCGGAUUUACUGGGUUUAAAGGGUGCGUAGGCGGCCUUUUAAGUCAGUGGUGAAAGCCUGUAGCUUAACUAUAGAAUUGCCAUUGAAACUGAAAGUCUCGAGUGUGGUUGAGGUAACUGGAAUAUAUCAUGUAGCGGUGAAAUGCUUAGAUAUGAUAUAGAACACCAAUUGCGAAGGCAGGUUACUGAGCCAUUACUGACGCUGAGGCACGAAAGCGUGGGGAUCAAACAGG